AAAGUCGUAACAAGGUUUCCGUAGGUGAACCUGCGGAAGGAUCAUUGUGAAUCAGUAGGAAAAUUUGUUGAAGGAGGGGGAGGAGGAGAUAUCUUUACGAUAUCUCUUUGUUCUCCAAGCAUCCACAUUUGCCAAUCGUAUGUCAGCAAUCAGUACAACUUUUAACAAUGGAUCUCUAGGCUCUU
rnacentral:misc_RNA from 1 species